ensembl:miRNA
AACUGAGCCUUGCUUUGCUUUGGGAAAACAUAAAGCAAAGCAAAGCUCAGUUGG